GACGAACGCUGGCGGCGUGCCUAAUACAUGCAAGUCGAACGCUGAAGGAGGAGCUUGCUUCUCCGGAUGAGUUGCGAACGGGUGAGUAACGCGUAGGUAACCUGCCUGGUAGCGGGGGAUAACUAUUGGAAACGAUAGCUAAUACAGCAUAACAGUAGAUGUUGCAUGACAUUUGCUUGAAAGGUGCAAUUUCAUCACUACCAAAUGGACCUCCGUUGUAUUAUCUAGUUGGUGAGGUAACGGCUCACCAAGGCGACGAUACAUAGCCGACCUGAGAGGGGGAUCGGCCAAACUGGGACUGAGACACGGCCCAGACUCCUACGGGAGGCAGCAGUAGGGAAUCUUCGGCAAUGGACGGAAGUCUGACCGAGCAACGCCGCGGGAGGGAAGAAGGUUUUCGGAUCGGAAAGCUCUGUUGUAAGAGAAGAACGAGUGUGAGAGUGGAAAGUGCACACUGUGACGGUAUCUGACCAGAAAGGGACGGCUAACUACGUG
rnacentral:rRNA from 1 species